ACAUACGACCAUACCUACAAGAGAAUACGGGGUCCCGUCCGCUCCCCCCCAGUCAAACUUGUGAGGGGCAGAUUAGUAGUUGGGUCGGUGACGACCAGCGAACACCGGCUGUUGUAUGUU
rnacentral:rRNA from 1 species